GACGAACGCUGGCGGCGUGCUUAACACAUGCAAGUCGAGCGAUGAAGCUCCUUCGGGAGUGGAUUAGCGGCGGACGGGUGAGUAACACGUGGGUAACCUGCCUCAUAGAGGGGAAUAGCCUUCCGAAAGGAAGAUUAAUACCGCAUAAGAUUGUAGUACCGCAUGGUAUAGCAAUUAAAGGAGCAAUCCGCUAUGAGAUGGACCCGCGUCGCAUUAGCUAGUUGGUGAGGUAACGGCUCACCAAGGCGACGAUGCGUAGCCGACCAUGAGAGGGUGAUCGGCCACAUUGGGACUGAGACACGGCCCAGACUCCUACGGGAGGCAGCAGUGGGGAAUAUUGCACAAUGGGGGAAACCCUGAUGCAGCAACGCCGCGUGAGUGAUGACGGUCUUCGGAUUGUAAAGCUCUGUCUUCAGGGACGAUAAUGACGGUACCUGAGGAGGAAGCCACGGCUAACUACGUGCCAGCCGCCGCAGUAAGAC
rnacentral:rRNA from 1 species